AUUGAACGCUGGCGGCAGGCCUAACACAUGCAAGUCGAACGAGUGGCGGACGGGUGAGUAAUGUCUGGGAAACUGCACGAUGGAGGGGGAUAACUACUGUAAACGGUAGCUAAUACCGCAUACCAUCGGUUCUGCCCAGUUGGGAUUAUCUAGUAGGUGGGGUAACGGCUCACCUAGGCGACGAUCCCUAGCUAGUCUGAGAGGAUGACCAGCCACACUGGAACUGAGACAUGGUCCAGAUUCCUACGGGAGGCAGCAGUGGGGAAUCUUGCACAAUGGGCGAAAGCCUGAUGGAGCCAUGCCGCGUGAAUGAAGAAGGCCUUCGGGUUGUAAAGUACUUUCAGCGAGGAGGCGUUACUCGCAGAAGAAGCACCGGCUAACUCCGUGCCUGCAGCCGCGGUAAUAC
rnacentral:rRNA from 1 species